GUGGGGAGGGAAAUGAGAAAGAGUUAGAGCUAAGUGUUGUAAAAAGAAAAUUAAAGUCCCUAGUUGGUUGAGUCAAAAGAAAAAGAGAGUUGUUCAUUGGGUGAGUGAUGUGCGUGGGUGUUAUUUUGGCUUUAAGAUGGGGAUGAAAAGGGUAGAACUUGUAAUCACUUAGGAAAAUAGUAGAAUGAUGAGAAUGGAUCUAUGUAUGCAUGAAUUGCUUCUAGUCUUAGAUAAAUUUUGCAUAAUGGUCAAGCUCCUUGUUUUUGAGUGAUGACCACCUUGAAAUGAAAACAUUUGAAUCCUUCUCUUCAUUCAUAUUAGACCAUUGCCUACCUAGCCAAAUGAUUAAGAUCAUGUGUCCAUUUGUGAGAAUUCACAUUGUGUGUGUGUGUGUGAAUCAAUGUGAGAGCUGGUUGAAGGAACUUGUUAGUUGAUGAGUAUUGCAACUUGUGUAGAGGCAUAAGAGUAUUGAUAGAGCUUUAGAAGCUAAAGUAUAAUAAGAGAGUGUGCUCAUGAUAUUUUCUAUGUUUCCUUAGGAUGUCAAGUUGAGUGUUGUAAGUAUCUCUUUUGGUUAUAAGCUUCCAUCUUUAUAUCUCUCCUUCUUGAGUUUUUGAAAAGUUU
rnacentral:lncRNA from 1 species